UCGAGUCAAUGAGUGUAGUGG
rnacentral:piRNA from 1 species